CCGCCGAUUUGUUGUAGUUCACGCCCACAGCUCUACCGUCUGCGGCUCCUCAAUGCUAACGGCUAACAGCUUCAAUUCUCCAGCAAAGCUGCACCGCGGUGGAUUAUUUACAUCAUGAAUCUUUACAGUUUGGAUUAAUGGGGACGUCAUUUCCAUUUGGCACCAGAAGGACAGUUCAACAAAACCACCACGGCGACAUGAUCUCAACGAGGACCCACAUCACCUGGAUCAGCUGAGGCAGACGAUGGUGAUGGACAUCUUUUAUUUUUAAUUCUACAAGGAAGAGCAGCUCCUGGUUCUCUCAUCACUGUGGAGGACGUGAACGGGCGACGUCUGGAGUCUGGAGCUGUCAUGGGGAUCGGAGAGAACGUCCAGCAGCUGCACACUCUUCAACCCACCAAUAAACUAUUAUUCUCUUUCA